rnacentral:rRNA from 1 species
UACGUAGGUGGCAAGCGUUAUCCGGAAUUAUUGGGCGUAAAGAGGGAGCAGGCGGCAGCAAAGGUCUGUGGUGAAAGACUGAAGCUUAACUUCAGUAAGCCAUAGAAACCGGGCAGCUAGAGUGCAGGAGAGGAUCGUGGAAUUCCAUGUGUAGCGGUGAAAUGCGUAGAUAUAUGGAGGAACACCAGUGGCGAAAGCGGCUCUCUGGUCUGUAACUGACGCUGAGGUUCGAAAGCGUGGGUAGCAAACAGG